AUGUGACCUUGUAUAUGAUC
rnacentral:miRNA from 1 species